rnacentral:lncRNA from 1 species
AAUAUGGCACAUGUAUACAUAUGUAACAAACCUGCACAUUGUGCACAUGUACCCUAAAACUUAAAGUAUAAUAAAAAAAUAAAAUAAAAUAAAAAUAAAUAAAUAAAAAACAGUGUGGUGGCAUAAAUGCAGACAUAUGGAAAGAUGGAGUAGAAUAAAAGGCCCAGAAAUAAACCCUCACAUAUAUGGUAAAAUGAUUUUUGACAAGGGUGCCAAGACCAUUCAAUGGGGAAAGGACCAUCUUUUCAACAAACGGUCCUGAUAUAUAUAUAUGCAAUGGAAUAUUAUUCAGCCAUAAAAAGGAAAUUAUGACAGAUGGACUACAUCUUUCACUUUGCCACUCAGAGUUCAGGCCUGGCCAAGUUUUAACAAAAGGGAAUGUAGUCUUUGGCAUCUUUUGUUCAAGCGCUUUGGGUUCCACGGUAGAAAAGGAAAUAUCUUCGUAUAAAAACUAGAGAGAAUCAUUCUCAGAAACCACUUUGUAAUGCGUGCGUUCCACUCAAAUAAACCACCUAACUUUACACCUCACAGAACCAGAAAAAGAAGAACUAAACCUAAACUUAUCAGAAGGAAGAAGAGGAUGAAGAUUAGAGAAGAAAUAAAUGAA